ACGAGUUUGAUCCUGGCUCAGAUUGAACGCUGGCGGCAUGCUUUACACAUGCAAGUCGAACGGUAACAGGCCUUCGGGUGCUGACGAGUGGCGAACGGGUGAGUAAUGCAUCGGAACGUGCCCAAUCGUGGGGGAUAACGUAGCGAAAGUUACGCUAAUACCGCAUAAGCCCUGAGGGGGAAAGCAGGGGAUCGCAAGACCUUGCGCGAAUGGAGCGGCCGAUGUCAGAUUAGCUAGUUGGUGGGGUAAAGGCCUACCAAGGCGACGAUCUGUAGCGGGUCUGAGAGGAUGAUCCGCCACACUGGGACUGAGACACGGCCCAGACUCCUACGGGAGGCAGCAGUGGGGAAUUUUGGACAAUGGGCGCAAGCCUGAUCCAGCCAUGCCGCGUGCGGGACGAAGGCCUUCGGGUUGUAAACCGCUUUCAGCCGGAAAGAAAUCGCCAAGGCUAAUAUCCUUGGUGGAUGACGGUACCGGAAGAAGAAGCACCGGCUAACUACGUG
rnacentral:rRNA from 1 species